rnacentral:rRNA from 1 species
AUUGAACGCUGGCGGCAGGCCUAACACAUGCAAGUCGAGCGGCAGCGGGAAAGUAGCUUGCUACUUUUGCCGGCGAGCGGCGGACGGGUGAGUAAUGCCUGGGAAAUUGCCCAGUCGAGGGGGAUAACAGUUGGAAACGACUGCUAAUACCGCAUACGCCCUACGGGGGAAAGCAGGGGACCUUCGGGCCUUGCGCGAUUGGAUAUGUCCAGGUGGGAUUAGCUAGUUGGUGAGGUAAUGGCUCACCAAGGCGACGAUCCCUAGCUGGUCUGAGAGGAUGAUCAGCCACACUGGAACUGAGACACGGUCCAGACUCCUACGGGAGGCAGCAGUGGGAAAUAUUGCACAAUGGGGGAAACCCUGAUGCAGCCAUGCCGCGUGUGUGAAGAAGGCCUUCGGGUUGUAAAGCACUUUCAGCGAGGAGGAAAGGUUGAUGCCUAAUACGUAUCAACUGUGACGUUACUCGCAGAAGAAGCACCGGCUAACUCCGUGCCAGCAGCCGCGGUAACAC